rnacentral:tRNA from 1 species
UCGGGCGUCGUCCAAUGGUAGGACGCCAGGUUCUGGUCCUGGAUAUCGGGGUUCGAGUCCCUGCGCCCGGA